rnacentral:other from 1 species
UCUCCCCUGCCGGGUUCUAACUACGUGUCCGCCCGUUUAAAACCCACAUCUUUUAUACGGGACGCCAAACUCGCGCCGCGGAUUGCAGGCCUCCCGGCCCUCUUCGGAGGUGUCUGGACGUUGGAAGCGAUGAAACGGCGCGGAGGCGACCCACCUGCAUUCACGUGCAGGUUUUUAAUCGGACGGCACGGCCACGGCGGGGGGGUU